GGUGGUGGAAUUGGCAGACACGCUACCUUGAGGUGGUAGUGGGAUUUAUACUCCCGUGCAGGGUCAUAGGUUCGAAUCCUAUAUCGUCCA
rnacentral:tRNA from 1 species